AAAUAGUGGAACUACUUUCUCAAUUAAGGCAUAGACAGAAAAUGAAGGUGUUCGCUAAAAAAAUGAUUCAGCUGAGUUAUAUAAAACAUGAAAUUUUAAGGUCAUCAUACAUUACCAUUUUAAAAGUGACAAGGCAGUCCAUGACCAGCAGUCUAUUUUAUUUACCACGCAUAUAUCCGACAAGGAAUUUCUCCAAAAUAUAUGAAGAACUUUUACACAUCACGCAAGAAAUUAUAGACACCGUAAAUUCUGAAUUAGCAGAAGAUUUGAAGAGUCACUUUAGAGUAGAAGAUGUCCAAAAUGACAUCCUGGAAACCCAAAUGGGAAAGCACGGCAGAUCUCAGAAUGGCUGCAAUGAAGGUGCAUCUGCCUCGGAGACACAGCGCCUAUCUCCAGAUGAUAAUUUGUUCAGCAAUAUUCAUACCUCUUUUAUGCAUAAUCAUCAAAAAUAUAUGUCUUUGUCAUCAGAAAAAUGGAUAAUCAAUUGUGCUAUACUCCUAAAACAGACUCUCUUAGCAUAAGAAUAAAACCAAAUGACUGAUGCA
rnacentral:lncRNA from 1 species